AUUUUUAAUUUUUAUUAUACAUUCUGGGAAUUAUAAGAAGUAACAUUCACAAUCCAAUCGACGCUAUUCAUUCCAUAUGCAUUACCAACGUUACGACAUUUACGUAUGUAUAUGUAUUAUAACGUGUAAAUCGCAUGUGGAGUGAAUAACGUCGAUUGGAUCAUAAUUGUUGA